UACGUAGGGCGCAAGCGUUAUCCGGAAUUAUUGGGCGUAAAGAGCUCGUAGGCGGUUUGUCGCGUCUGCCGUGAAAGUCCGGGGCUCAACUCCGGAUCUGCGGUGGGUACGGGCAGACUAGAGUGAUGUAGGGGAGACUGGAAUUCCUGGUGUAGCGGUGAAAUGCGCAGAUAUCAGGAAGAACACCAAUGGCGAAGGCAGCAUCCUGGGAAGUACCUGACGCUCAGGUGCGAAAGCCAGGGGAGCGAACGGG
rnacentral:rRNA from 1 species